rnacentral:rRNA from 1 species
UCUACGGGAGGCAGCAGUGGGGCAUAUUGCACAAUGGGGGAAACCCUGAUGCAGCGACGCCGCGUGAGCGAUGAAGUAUUUCGGUAUGUACAGCUCUAUCAGCAGGGAAGAAAAUGACGGUACCUGACUAAGAAGCCCCGGCUAACUACGUGCCAGCAGCCGCGGUAAUACGUAGGGGGCAAGCGUUAUCCGGAUUUACUGGGUGUAAAGGGAGCGUAGACGGCGGUGCAAGUCAGAUGUGAAAGACCGGUACUCAACCCCGGGACUGCAUUGGGAACUGUGCUGCUAGAGUGUCUGAGAGGCAGGCGGAAUUCCGAGUGUAGAGGUGAAAUGCGUAGAUAAUAGGAGGAACACCAGUGGCGAAGGCGGCCUGCUGGACGAUGACUGACGUUGAGGCUCGAAAGCGUGGGGAGCAAACAGGAUUAGAGACCCUUGUAGUC